AUUUUCCUUUUAACAACUAAGAAAAUCAAGGUUCAGAGAACCCAAAAAUUUGUUCAAUUUCACCCACCUAGAAAGUGGCAUGGAUGACAUUCAACCCAUUUUAGCCUGACCUUAUUUGCCGUUACUUAGUCACUAUGUAAUUUUGUUUCCUCAUUUGUGAUGAAAAUAAAAAUAGAAAGAAAGAACUGAAUGGAAUAAUAAAAACAUGAAAUGUGAUCUCUUGCAGGCCAUUGCCUCCUUCAUCGCAGACUUGAAUGGCUGCCCUUGGCCAUCACUCUCCUGACCUACCUAUGGUUGUUAAUAUUAAUUUUUACCACCCACAGUUGCCUUUGGCUCCUUCUCCUUCACCUCUUGUAUCUAGUCAACAAGUCCUCUGGAUUUAACUACCUUAUUUUCCGUAUUUAUCUUCCUGAUGCCAUUCCAUGGAUGAUGCCUGAGAGCUUCUCAACUGUUUCUACUCUCUCCACCAGCCAAGCUGUCUUCUAGUAUGUUGACAGCAUCCAGGGUGAAGAUAAUAUGUCGAUGAUGUUCAAUGAAUGCUUCUAGGAAAGUAAGAAUAAGUGAAUAAAUGGUUGAAUGGAUAAAACCUUAACGAGGCAAAAAAAGAUGCAUUCAAUUUUCAAGGAACAAGAGGUUAAGGAAAAUCAUAUUGCUCAACAGUCAGAAAUAAGGAACAGUUUUGAGGUAAA